rnacentral:tRNA from 1 species
GCCGAGGUGGUGGAACUGGUAGACACGCAGUCUUGAGGAGGCUGUGCUUUCGGGCAUGGAGGUUCGAGUCCUCUCCUCGGCACAA